AACGCACCUUGCGCUCCUUGGUAUUCCGAGGAGCAUGCCUGUUUGAGUGUCAUUAAUAUAUAUCAACCUUCUCAUUUAUGAGUGGUUUGGAUGUGGGGGUUUGCUGGCCUCUUAAAUGAGUUCAGCUCCUCUGAAAUGCAUUAGCAGAACAAUCUUGUUCAUUGGCGUGAUAACUAUCUACGCUAUUGAAUGUGAGGGACAGUUCAGCUUUCUAACAGUCCUUGGACAACUUAUCAUUAAUGUGACCUCAAAUCAGGUAGGACUACCCGCUGAACUUAA
rnacentral:misc_RNA from 1 species